GAUGAACGCUGGCGGCGUGCUUAACACAUACAAGUCGAACGGAAAGGCUCCUGCUUGCAGGGGUACUCGAGUGGCGAACGGGUGAGUAACACGUGGGUGAUCUGCCCUGCACUUCGGGAUAAGCCUGGGAAACUGGGUCUAAUACCGGAUAGGACGAUGGUUUGGAUGCCAUUGUGGAAAGUUUUUCGGUGUGGGAUGAGCUCGCGGCCUAUCAGCUUGUUGGUGGGGUAAUGGCCUACCAAGGCGUCGACGGGUAGCCGGCCUGAGAGGGUGUACGGCCACAUUGGGACUGAGAUACGGCCCAGACUCCUACGGGAGGCAGCAGUGGGGAAUAUUGCACAAUGGGCGCAAGCCUGAUGCAGCGACGCCGCGUGGGGGAUGACGGCCUUCGGGUUGUAAACUCCUUUCGUCAGGGACGAAGCGAAAGUGACGGUACCUGGAUAAGAAGCACCGGCUAACUACGUG
rnacentral:rRNA from 1 species